CGUGACACCUUUAGUUCUUUCUUAGCCGCAAAGCGCUAGUAUCGCAACAAGCUGCAGCCAUAUUCUUUUUUCUAGUCGAUGGCCAUAUACAUAGACUCUGUGGCAUACUAUUCUCUCGUUAGAGAGUAGUAUGUACCUUGCUCUGUGGUAUAUAUACUGGGAAGCCAUAUUGUUUAUUGUUGUUGUCUCCAAAGGUUAAUAAAUUAUGGGAAUUGUGGUGAUCCCAAUUAAUUCCUGUAAAUAUAGGACUCAGUGCUUUGCCGAAGGCUCAAUUGUUGAACAGACACGUAUGCCAGAAGCACUUCGAUAGACAUCAGUUCGACAGUAUGGGGUGGUAUGGGUACCCGACGUACGCAUGGUUAUCUCUACUUGUUUACUGAAAAGGAAAAUACUUCACGGAAUUCGUGAGCUCAUUAGGUAAGUUGAUUUCAUGUUAAAGAUGUAUUAAGCACUAGGUAUUCCCUAACAUAGUUUUUACUUUGUGCUUUCAUACCAUAUUUCAUAUGAAUAAACUGUGUAAAAUUCUUUUUUCAGCUGAACAUGAUUUCAGUGAUCACAAUUUUAUUAUGCUUUACAACCAACUUCAGAUCAACAGAGUUCAACAUUCAGAAGAUUCAACAGUAUCCACUCAAAGUACAAUAAUAAUAAUUAGUGCCAAUUUGACAACCAAGUGCAGGUAUUUUAUUAAAAGAAUAAAAGAAAUGUUUAUCAAAGAAAACAAGAAGCAAAGGCUAUUUUCAGAAGGAUCCUCAAAGAUGACUUUUGGUAAAUAUAUAAAGUGUAUAGAUUAAGAAGCAAGAAAUAUAAAACUGAAUUUGAU